ACGCUGGCGGCAUGCUUUACACAUGCAAGUCGAACGGCAGCACGGGAGUAAUCCUGGUGGCGAGUGGCGAACGGGUGAGUAAUAUAUCGGAACGUACCCGGAAAUGGGGGAUAACGUAGCGAAAGUUACGCUAAUACCGCAUAUGCCCUGAGGGGGAAAGUGGGGGAUCCGCAAGGACCUCACGUUUUCGGAGCGGCCGAUAUCAGAUUAGCUAGUUGGUGGGGUAAAGGCCUACCAAGGCGACGAUCUGUAGCUGGUCUGAGAGGACGACCAGCCACACUGGAACUGAGACACGGUCCAGACUCCUACGGGAGGCAGCAGUGGGGAAUUUUGGACAAUGGGCGCAAGCCUGAUCCAGCCAUGCCGCGUGAGUGAAGAAGGCCUUCGGGUUGUAAAGCUCUUUCAGCCGGAAAGAAAACGCACGGGUUAAUACCUUGUGUGGAUGACGGUACCGGAAGAAGAAGCACCGGCUAACUACGUGCCAGCAGCCGCGGUAAUACGUAGGGUGCGAGCGUUAAUCGGAAUUACUGGGCGUAAAGCGUGCGCAGGCGGUUUUGUAAGACAGAUGUGAAAUCCCCGGGCUUAACCUGGGAACUGCAUUUGUGACUGCAAGACUAGAGUACGGCAGAGGGGGGUAGAAUUCCACGUGUAGCAGUGAAAUGCGUAGAUAUGUGGAGGAAUACCGAUGGCGAAGGCAGCCCCCUGGGUCGAUACUGACGCUCAUGCACGAAAGCGUGGGGAGCAAACAGGAUUAGAUACCCUGGUAGUCCACGCCCUAAACGAUGUCAACUAGGUGUUGGGGGAGGAGACUUCCUUAGUACCGCAGCUA
rnacentral:rRNA from 1 species